GAUGAACGCUAGCGGCAGGCUUAAUGCAUGCAAGUCGAGGGGUAGCAAGAUUGUAGCUAUACAAUUGUUGACGACCGGCAAACGGGUGCGGAACACGUACACAACCUUCCUACAAGUGGGGAAUAGCCCAGAGAAAUUUGGAUUAAUACCCCGUAACAUAGCGAUGUGGCAUCACAUUGCUAUUAUAGCUUCGGCGCUUGUUGAUGGGUGUGCGGCUGAUUAGAUAGUUGGCGGGGUAACGGCCCACCAAGUCUACGAUCAGUAGCUGAUGUGAGAGCAUGAUCAGCCACACGGGCACUGAGACACGGGCCCGACUCCUACGGGAGGCAGCAGUAAGGAAUAUUGGACAAUGGACGCAAGUCUGAUCCAGCCAUGCCGCGUGAAGGAUUAAGGUCCUCUGGAUUGUAAACUUCUUUUAUAAGGGACGAAAAAAGGUCUUUCUAGAUCGUCUGACGGUACCUUAUGAAUAAGCACCGGCUAACUCCGUGCCAGCCGCCGCAGUAAGAC
rnacentral:rRNA from 1 species